AACGAACGCUGGCGGCAGGCCUAACACAUGCAAGUCGAACGCCCCCUUCGGGGGGAGUGGCGCACGGGUGAGUAACGCGUGGGAAUCUGCCCUUUGGUCUGGAAUAACCCUGGGAAACUAGGGCUAACACCGGAUAAGCCCGAGAGGGGAAAGUUUACGCCGAAGGAGGAGCCCGCGUCCGAUUAGCUAGUUGGUGAGGUAAGAGCUCACCAAGGCUACGAUCGGUAGCUGGUCUGAGAGGACGAUCAGCCACACUGGGACUGAGACACGGCCCAGACUCCUACGGGAGGCAGCAGUGGGGAAUAUUGGACAAUGGGCGCAAGCCUGAUCCAGCCAUGCCGCGUGAGUGAUGAAGGCCUUCGGGUUGUAAAGCUCUUUUGGCGGGGACGAUGAUGACGGUACCCGCAGAAUAAGCCCCGGCAAACUUCGUGCCAGCAGCCGC
rnacentral:rRNA from 1 species